rfam:Zootermopsis nevadensis contig11564, whole genome shotgun sequence.
AUUAUUUGUGUUUUAGCCUGGUGGCGAUGGCAACACAAGUAUGUUCAGCCAAAGCGUUCAGGAAUAGCUCCAUUUUUCCAAGUUGUGACUGGUGCAAUGUUGUUCUUCUAUGUAAUUAACUAUGGAAAACUGAGUAAGUUUAA